UCUGUUUCAAAAUCCGGGAGCGGGCUUCCACAUAGAUGCGGCUGUAGAGGGCGAUGAGGAGCAAGGUGGGGAAGUAGAAAGCGCCCACCGUGGAGUAGACCGUGUAGAGGAUGUGGUCGGUGUUCACCAAACAGUCCAACACUUCUUCCUCGGCUUUGGCCUGGCGCCAAAAGAAGGGCGGCAGCGAGAUGGAGAUGGAGAAGACCCACACCAGCGCGAUCAUGACUGCCGCCCUCUUGGGAGUCCUUUUAGCUGAGUACUCCACGGCGUCCGUGAUGGCCCAGUAGCGGUCCAGGGCGAUGACACAGAGGUGCAGGAUGGAAGCAGUGCAACAGGUGAUAUCAGACGACAGCCAGAAGUCGCAGACCACCUGGCCCAGCGUCCAGCGGCCGGUGACCACAUACAUGGUGCUGAUGGGCAUCACCAGGAUGGAUACGAGCAGUCUCCCUCUAGCGCCCUCUACUGUCAGCUUAACAGGGAGAGAGCUGGCAAGGCGGAGAUGUUCCCAGAGUCCCAGCCGCCGCAUGACGCAGCAGAAUGUUGAAGCGCGUGGGUUUGAGAUUGGUUAUGGAUUAUUUUCGUUGACAAUUGUCUGCUCUGUAAACUCAGCUGAAGCUGGACAACUCUGGGAAGACGGAGCUGUUUGCAUCCUUAUACCCAAGAGAGUGAUCCUCAAGAUCUGGACUGCGAAGACUUGACAGUGUGAGGCAUCAGACCAUUUAGAGAAACCCAUUAUGUGCAAUUUGUUCCAAUUAAUAUGAAAGCUUACAUUUCUCCAAAAGCAUCUCCUAGGGAAAUGAAUCUCCCAUGUGAAAGGUGCUCUCCCGGCAUCCUUACCCCCAGAGCUGAGACGGAAUAGGGACGGGACUCCGGCCUUCAUCCUCAGCCGGCACCUCCCAGCCCAGCUAGUUUUGAAGUCAAGAUGAGUAACCUUCCAACGCACAACUUCCCGCCAGCAAUUGAACCGACUCCCGCAUGCGCCCAAAGCCUCGAGAUGCCCACUGUACGACCUUCCCGCAGCGGGAAUAGCGAGCAACACCGCCAGGUUGGACCAACUGGGCAGGUGCGGGGACCACAACUGCCCGGCGUGCGAAGAGGAUGCUACCAGGAAAAGGGAAGCGGAACACCUCUGGUGCAAGAGAAUCAUGAAGCCAGUGCUCUCCCUUCAGCCCUUAAAAGACUCAAGACGGCCCUCUUCAGGAAGCCAGCCAGAGAGCCUCUUCUCCCGCGCUGUCUCCCUAGUGCUCCAGCAUAAGCCCCGAUGAAACCUUGGCUCAGGCUUUGGCUGUGCCUCUUGUCAAUUUCUAUUACUCAGAGAGCCUAAGAACCCAGGGUCUGUGUCAGAGCUAGGGACUUCCCGGCUGAGAAGCCUGCGUAAACAAACUUAGUUAAUUUACUCUAAACUCUGUUUAAAUUCCUCACAAAAUACGUACCCCAAACCUAUUUCUUUGUCUUCUCAAUUCCUCAGAAAUUUAUUGUUUCUUUACGUAAA
rnacentral:lncRNA from 1 species